CCUACGGGUGGCAGCAGUGGGGAAUAUUGGACAAUGGGCGAAAGCCUGAUCCAGCCAUGCCGCGUGUGUGAAGAAGGCCUUCGGGUUGUAAAGCACUUUCAGUGGGGAAGAAAGCCUUGGGGCUAAUACCCUCGAGGAAGGACAUCACCCACAGAAGAAGCACCGGCUAACUCCGUGCCAGCAGCCGCGGUAAUACGGAGGGUGCGAGCGUUAAUCGGAAUUACUGGGGCGUAAAGCGCGCGUAGGCGGUCUGAUAAGCCGGUUGUGAAAGCCCCGGGCUCAACCUGGGAACGGCAUCCGGAACUGUCAGGCUAGAGUGCAGGAGAGGAAGGUAGAAUUCCCGGUGUAGCGGUGAAAUGCGUAGAGAUCGGGAGGAAUACCAGUGGCGAAGGCGGCCUUCUGGACUGACACUGACGCUGAGGUGCGAAAGCGUGGGUAGCAAACAGGAUUAGAUACCCGUGUAGUC
rnacentral:rRNA from 1 species